AUUUGGCAUAUCUAAAGUGACUACCAUAACUUAAAUUUGCUGUCAGUUAAAAGCGUUUGCCUCAGUCUUUGUGGCAACGACUUUGAUCGUAAUUUCUAGUAUUGACAUGUCUAAACUCAAUUUCAUCCCUUACUUACAAUGAGACCUUGUAAAAUUUAGAAAGUCAAAUUAAUUACUUAGUCUUCUCUGUCACUAGUGUCUGAGUUUAAAAUUAUUUCUAUUCCAUUAACAUUUAAACAGAGCAUCCCAUCCCCCUGUUUCAUUGCUUAUCACUUGGC